AUAUAAGUAUACAUUUGAGAGGGUACAACAGUAAAACUAUCGUUUUGUAGCAAUAGACAGUAGAAAAUAUUACAACAUACUGCGGCUGCCACUUUAUUUCGUUUUAUUGUCCGCAUUCGUUCGAAUAAAAUGACGGACUACGGUCGACCUUUAUCCAUUGCACCCUUGUGUAAAUGUUUUUAGUUUUAAACAUUUUAUGACGUCAAACUAUUUUGUUCAAUGUGGUUAUUAAGUCUUCCCUAGAUAAAAUCUGCUAAAUUCGCGCAGUACAUAUAUUUAUCAGAAUGAAAUGGAGGUCGCCAUCAAAAAGUGUCACUACAAUCAACGGUCAUUGGAUAGAGACACUCUGGUUAUUUUUCAUGGUAGUCUUGCGUUUGUGUUGCAUUCAAAAAACGAUCUGUAAAUCUUGGCACUGGAAGAAUUCACAGACUGAAUGUUAUAAAGAUCGUGAGUCUCUCGGUGUCAAUUAUUGCAAAUCGGUUACACUGCAAAUACCUUACAAAAAUAUUUAUACAUUUCAUGGAAAAUGUUUAUUAAAAAUUUGUAUAAUUAAUGUGUUGUAAUUUCAUGACUAUUUUAUUUCAGAAAAUAAUGUAUACUAGUAAUUUCACCCGAAAACACAGUUGACGAUUUAAAAUUAAUUAUUCUAUUAAAAGCAAUCAAGAUUUAAACAGUAUGUAGCGAUGUUACACUAGUUUUAUUACUAUUGGUCAUAUUUACAAUUGUUUUUGAAAUGUAUAAAUGUAAUAUGUUCCAUAUUAACCAAUAUAAACUUAAUAUCAGAUUAUUUUUUUGUAAUAACAUGUGCUAUCUGAUCAUCAUUCAUCCAAAGUUACACGCGCGGUCCACACAAUACAAAUUACAUGUAAUAGCAGAGGUACAGAAAUGGGUUAGAUGUCAUUGGAGUUAUUUGAUAUUGACCAAUGAAUUUGUCAUCUGUUUGAUUGAAAAAAAUUUGAAAAUUUAAAAAUAGAGUAUUAAAAGAAUAGAAAAGUAUUUAGAAAUCUUUUCUUUAACAAUUCAUAUGGUAUAAGAUUUGAUAGGAGCUUUUUCAUAGUUUAUUAUGUAAACAGUUACCAUAUACUGUAAAUUAACUAAAAAAAAAUCAAAGACAAAAGUUAGAAAAUAAUUCUAAAUAUUAGAACUAUGUACAUAGUAAUAAACUUGUGUCUAUUAUAAUUAUUUCUAAGCAAAAGUAGUCUUGAAGAGUCAUCGUGGUAAUUUUAAAUUUUACACAGUAAAUAAAUAUGCGCCAACAAGUAGUAGUUAUUGUCAAUAACAUAUUUUAAUGAUAGACAUUUCAGCGCUAAGAAAAAAUAUGCCUUAAGUUCCAUAUGGUUGUUUAGAAAACAUUGGAAUUAGUAGUAAGAAAAAUCUGCCGAAGGAGUACCCGAUUGAUUUUAUGACUUCAACAAAAUUGCAACUAUUUGAUGAGCCAUACCCAUUCCUUUAUAUUCAAGUUUAUAAUAUUUCUCUCGUGAGAUCAUUAGACGACAUGUAUUUGGUACCUCGACGGACUUUUCAGACUGUUUAGCCAACUGCUUACUAAGUGGUUGUGUACGGCUACAAUGGUCGUUGGCGGCUUAUUUAACGCUUAAAUAGAAAAGUACAAAAAAAAACCAGCACUCCGAUAAUAAGCGAUUAACGCCGACAACGCAUGUAAAACAAGAGAAAUUCGGAAAUGCAUGUAACGAGUGUCGUGUAGUAUUGACCAUAAUCAAUCCAAAAAAAUACUUGGGAUAUGCCGUUGUUUGGAGAAAGCGAAUCGAAACGUUGCAUUACGGGCUGUCACGAAAACAGUAGAAUAUCCAAAGAAAAUAGUUACAUAUUAAAAUAUAAAAAAAUAGUUACAACAGGGGUAUGUACACUGUCUGCAAUACACCAUGUAUAAUUCUGCGUUACACAUAAUUCAACCGCAGAACACCUCCUAAGUCGAGAAAAACAAUCGUCGAGAGCAGCAAGUCGAAACCCUUUGUGGGUGUUCAUCCGUUUGCUUCAUUUAGAGUUGGUUGCUGAGACCGAACUGCGGUUACUGCAAGUUAAGAAUACAAACUCGUAGUAAUAGAAGGAAAACGAUCAUCAUUCGAAAAAUUGUGGUUCUUAUGUGGAAGACAUUAACGAUACAUUAAUCAGUAUCCGAUAACAAUAUCUUUAACGUCAUUUGUGUUUUUUACCGCAACAACAAUAUCUUCAUGUAUAAAUGAUAUAUUGAAGAACAAAACGCAUGACAGAUUAUUGUAAGUUACACAGUGCGAGAAAUAAAUUACAAAUUUUCAGAUAGAGGAUUUAUAAUAACUUCAAUUGAUAUUAUGAACAAAAUUAAAAGAGGUUUUUAAGUAAAAAUAGCUCAAUUAAAUUGGGAUUCUUACUGUAAAUAUUGAUCAGCUAUAAAGUUUCCUGAGGUGAACAAAAAACAUCAUUACGUAUAUUUGGUUGUCACCAAAACCAUUGUUAAUAAGUAAGUUGUUUACUUGUCAGUUAUUAAAUUUAAUGAUGUGGUAGGAUUAUUCAAACCAUUAUUUUUAUUUGCAUUCCGUGAACAGAAUAAAAUGUAAUGUAUUUUGGGAAGUACACAUUUUGUAUUAUAUACCUACUCAUAUUCAAAAGCUUUUCAGAGUAAGUAAUGAGCUCUUAUUCAUAUGGAAAUAUUCAAAAAUACAUAUACGAUGCACUUGGAAAUUUAAAGGCUACAAGUUGUAUUUUAAAAGAUUGCUAUCUUUUAAAAUACAAAUCUGAUUUAUAGCAAGCCCAAAUAAGUUUUCUAUCGAUUUUACCAUUGAGGCUUGCAGAAUUUUUGCAAAA